UACGUAGGGUGCAAGCGUUGUCCGGAAUUAUUGGGCGUAAAGAGCUCGUAGGCGGUUCGUCGCGUCGGCUGUGAAAACCCGGAGCUCAACUCCGGGCCUGCAGUCGAUACGGGCGGACUUGAGUACUGCAGGGGAGACUGGAAUUCCUGGUGUAGCGGUGAAAUGCGCAGAUAUCAGGAGGAACACCGGUGGCGAAGGCAGUGUCCUGGGGAGUACCUGACGCUCAGGUGCGAAAGCCAGGGGAGCGAACGGG
rnacentral:rRNA from 1 species